rnacentral:rRNA from 1 species
GGGUGUGAGUGGUGAUUGGCAUGUGAGGGUAUGUUGGAUCCCUGCUUGUGCAGCGACAACGUCCCCGUCCAUGCCUCUUCAUUGUUUGAUUCAAGUGCUUAAUUGCCUUGGUCGUCUCGGGUUGCCUGUGUUGUGUACCAUUCUUGAAGGCAUUGGUUUGGCUAAAAAUAUCCCGUCUCCUCUUAGUGCUGYCGACCACGUGUUUGUGGCACGAGGGGGAACCAAAAAGCAGUCGACGUGUAUCCACUUCUUUUUCGUGCGUGCAUGAAGGGAAUUUGGCCCAUGUCGGCUUGCUCGAUCUCUCGGUUGCGGUGCAUAAUUCGGGUACGAGGCCCUCGAGCCUCUGUUUUGCCCAUAAAAUAAGCGUUCUACGCUUCAUGCGAACGACACUCGUCAUCGUUUUGGUUGGGUCCUCGUGACUCGACCCAUGCGUUGCGACGUCGAUGAAGGAAUGCUACCUGGUUGAUCCUGCCAGUAGUCAAUCAUAA